rnacentral:tRNA from 1 species
AUUUAUAUAGUUUAAUUCUAAAACAUAUCAUUUUCAAUGAUAAAAUGAAAACAUUUUCUAUAAAUU